AACAAAGACAUUAUCAGUUCUUCCCAGAUCUACACCUGAGGCUCUUCCAGGGCCGGCAAAGACCUGCUGCAAAUGCUGUAGAAUGCAGGUGGGCAGAGUGAAGAUGACAAAACACAUACAAAGAUAGAAACAACGGUUUAAUAGCAAUUCCAACUGGUGGCUGAUGAAAUGCCGCACGACACGAUAUGAGACUUGGCUGAGUUAUUUGCACAGAUGCAUGCUAAAUUUCAAAGGACGCAGAAAAUGCACCGGUGUACCACAGGCUGCCCCGAGAUGUGGAUGCAUUUAUCAGAAGGGACUGUUCAAAGGUUCACAGGGCAGUCAGCACUAAGUGGGGUUUGGAGUCAGACAAACCAGGAUUUGCAACCUGGCAAAGUCAAAUCGUAACCCAGAGAGCUUCCACUUCUGUAAAUUCAAUGAGGUGAGGCCGGGAACACUCAGGCCUACGGCCCUGGGGCAGGGCGGCCACCCACGCUGCGUUCACAGCUUGCUGCUUUCCUCCCCACCCUUGGCUGCCAGGCUGAAUUUGUUUCUCCCUUCAAAACUCAACUCCAAUGUCACCCAUCGCCUCCGCCUCCUCCUUGAAGUCCUGCCCCCUACUCCGGGCUCUGGAGGGCCAGGUCUGCCCUCAGACCACGUGGCUGCAGUUUCAACAAAAGCCCCGGGAGGCAGGGACCCAGCCUCCCCCUCCCCCAGCCACGACCUCCUUUCCUCGGUCCCCACCGUCCGCCUCGGACCUGACAGACACUCAGUGAUGAGUUGAGGAUGAACAGAAAACACUUCGUUAACAGACACUGGGAAGCAACGAGGCCGCACCCUACUCAUGUCUCCAUGCUAUUCGUUUAACGUCGGCACGACUCUAAGAUUUGCCUUUUGCAUUUUCGCUUUUCAAGUCGAAUCUCAUAGUUGCGUAGCAAUAUUAUAUGUAGUAGCGUCCUUCUUAUUGAGGAAACAAAACAAAAAUCAUAGUCCCUACCUCUUAAAGGGUGAGAUAAAUGACGUGACAAAGUUUUGGUAGGACGACAGCCCCACGACAUUGAGGGAGUCAGCAAUUUAUCUACGAAGUGCAAACAACACACCCUUUCAUCCAUUCACUCCCCAAGCAUUUACUGGGCUCGACUGUGUGCCGUGCGAGCUCGGGCUGGGGCCACCAGUGCGCCGCGAGGCCUCGCCCGGCCUCUUGCAGAGACUGCCCAAGAGUGAUGAAGAGAGACACCCACAGCCGCAAAGGAAAGGGCAGACUGGCGCCCUUGCUGCCUGAGAUGACAUUCAAUGGGCGCACACAGAGUGCUCUCAUAGCCGAGUUCUGGCGGCCUGCUGCUGUGUAGUCUGGAGAUGAAGAAAGAGGAAUCUAAAACACUAACAGUCAAAGUGCCGUCUCCAUCUGCCCGGGGCUGAUCUUCAUCUGUUUCCAAAGGGGCCUUAACCUCCCCGCGGCCGCAGCGAAGCAGUGCUCGGGUCUCCGGCCCGGCUCCCUGAGCGCCGCAGCGCCCGCGGGCGUGCGCAGACUGGCUGGCAGCGCCGUGCCGCGCUCCGCCCCGACGGCAGGUGCAAAGCGGAGACCAGGGAGACCACGGACGGGACGCGGCUCCUCCGCGCGGAGCCCCGCAGGCGCCUCCCGGCUGCGCACCUGCCUCCCGGACUCUGGUCCCAGCCGACGAGGAAGACUUCGGCUGAGGCCGACAGCAUCACCGGCGCGGUACGCGCCUCCGCUGGGCGUGACGGGCAGCCAAGCUCUCCUCCGCGUGGAGAGCCGCUCAGCCAGCAGACGCGCGCUCGUCUGCAGGCUCCUGUGGACACGGGCGCCGAGAGGCAAGAGAGGAGCCUGGGAGAGAGCGCCGCUGUGCAGAGCACCCGCCACGGGAGAACGUUCCCACCUCGCCAUGCGUGCACUUUUCCAGAGAGAAGCACAUCAAGCACACUGUUAUGUCCAUGAAAAGUGAAAUGGCUCCCAGGAAACCGGUUCGCCUACCGUCACACCGUGGGAACGGAUGGUUCCAGUUCCUGUUGACCCCAUGCUGACAGAAGGAACAGAGUGCACACGAAAAGCU